UCUAAUGGCGGCCGUACGUGGGCAGGCUUCGGCCUGGCCGAGUCAUUGCGUAUUUCUCCUCGGUUUCUCACCCCGCGUACGGCUGCCACCCUC
rnacentral:antisense_RNA from 18 species